UACACACACUGUGAAUCAUCGAAUCUUUGAACGCACCUUGCACUUUGGGAGUCUAAUCUCAAAGUAUACCUGUUUGAGUAUCAUAAACAUUUAUCCAAGCCCAUUGGGAUUGGGAAUUGAGGGUCACUUGGUUAGUGUUAGUGUUAGUGUAUAGUGUUAAAGCUAUAAGCUAAGCUAAGCUAAGCUAUAGGUGUUUCUUUAAAUAUAGGACAGAGUUAGCUGCUGGACUGCACGCUACUCGAGUGAGGAUAUUUGCAUUCGUGCAAAGGAUUCAUGAGAGGUAGUGCAUUGGACUGAGUGCUAAUACUCUGAAGUUAAGUUGGUUAGGUAAAAGGUGUUGGUACUAGCGAUAGUAAUAAACACAUCAUAUCCAUAUCCACAUCCACAACUACAACAUCCACAUACAAAUGUGAUCUCAAAUCAGGCAAGACUACCCGCUGAACUUAAGCAUAUCAAUAAGCGGAGG
rnacentral:rRNA from 1 species